CCCGCCUACUCUGCACAGGACGAGUUUGAAAAAUGUUUCCGAUGGAGCUUUAAAAGAGAGGCUGAAACCAGGACAAAGUGUGUGACUAACGCAGGGGGAUUCACACUGGUCUUUACAAAACACCAUUUCUGACUCAUUCACAGCUGUUUUAUCUGUAGGAAACUCAGAACCAUUUUCCAAACUUUUUGAGAACUCAGGCGCCCUGCUUGGGCCUGGCAUCUCCUCAUCAACUGCAACAAUCUCCUGUACUUCAGACUUAGAUUCGAAGCAGCUACAUGAUAUUGACAACAAAGGUUGUGAACUACAACAUUUUUUACAAUCGAUCAAAAUGGGC